AUCCUUUCCAGUUCAUAAACAUGGGUGUUUACACCACUGGGUGAGAUAGGACUCCCUCUAAACUUCUUGUAACAUAGCACAUUUCCCACCUGAUG
rnacentral:snoRNA from 1 species